rnacentral:sRNA from 1 species
UUUUCGACCGGGUCGACCUCACGGGUCACCACCAGAUAUUGCCGCAACGCGAUGGCGUGCAGGUGUUC